rnacentral:tRNA from 1 species
GAGGAUAUAGCUCAGUGGUAGAGUGUGUGCUUAGCGUGCACAAGGUCCUGGAUUCAAUCCCCAGUACCUCCA